GUCACAUAUUUUCUUCUAACAAUUAUUCUUCCUCCAAUUUUCUGCAGGGUAUAUAUUUAUUGCCUUGUUCUCCACUUAUUUUAGGACCUACCCAUAGCUUCCAGAAUUGCCUGAGGUAUGAGGAAGGUGAUUAGUACUUUUUCUUGUCACAUUAUAACCUGUGACACCAGUAAAACCCUCGUUUUAACUCUAUUCUCUUGCUAACCCAGCAUAAUUCUUGUCCUUGUGUACAGGUAUAGUGGAGGAUUACAAGCCACCAUUCUACGAUGUGGUUCCCAAUGACCCAAGUUUUGAAGAUAUGAGGAAAGUAGUCUGUGUGGAUCAACAGAGGCCAAACAUACCCAACAGGUGGUUCUCAGACCCGACAUUAACCUCUCUGGCCAAGCUGAUGAAAGAAUGCUGGUAUCAAAAUCCAUCUGCAAGACUCACAGCUCUGCGCAUCAAAAAGACUUUGACCAAAAUUGAUAAUUCCCUAGACAAAUUGAAAACUGACUGUUGACAGUUUCAUGGUGUCAAGAAGGAAGAUUUGACAUUGUUGUUGUUGUCCAGCUGGGACCUAAUGCUGGCCUGACUGGUUUCAGAACAGAAUCCUCCCCAAAUGGCUGCUUUGACAAGGCUGACAUCCUACCCAGCCAUGUGUUGGGGAGAAACAAAAACCACCCUAACCUCGCUCAAUGACUGUGAACUGGGCAUUUCACGAACUGUUCAGACUGCAGAGACUGAUGUUGGACAGACACUGUUGCAAAGGUAGGGAACUGGAGGAACACAGAGAAAUCCUAAAAGAGAUCUGGGCAUUAAGACAGUGGCUUUGCAUAUCUUUCACAAGCCUCCUAGACACUCCCCACGGGAAACUCAAGGAGGCGGUGAAUUUUUAAUCAGCAAUAUUGCCUGUGCUUCUCUUCUUUAUUGCACUAGGAAUUCUUUGCAUUCCUUACUUGCACUGUUACUCUUAAUUUUCAAGACCCAACUUGCCAAAAUGUUGGCUGCGUACUUCACUGUUCUGUCUUUGGAUAAUAGGAAUUCAAUUUGGCAAAACAAAAUGUAAUGUCAGACUUUGCUGCAUUUUACACAUGUGCUGAUGUUUACAAUGAUGCCGAACAUUAGGAAUUGUUUAUACACAACUUUGCAAAUUAUUUAUUACUUGUGCACUUAGCAGUUUUUAGAAAACUGCUUCGUGCAUAUGUUAAAGCUUAUUUUUAUGUGGUCUUAUGAUUUUAUUACUGAAUUGUUUUUAACACUAUACUCUGAAAUGGACAUUUUCUUUUAUUAUCAGUUAAAUUCACAUUUUAAGUGCUUCACAUUUGUAUGUGUGUAGACUGUAACUUUUUUUCAGUUCAUAUGCAGAACGUAUUUAGCCAUUACCCAUGUGACACCACCGAAUAUAUUACUGAUUUAGAAGCAAAGAUUUCAGUAGAAUUUUAGUCCUGAACGCUGUGGGGAAAAUGCAUUUUCUUCAGAAUUAUCCAUUAUGUGCAUUUAAACUCUGCCAGAAAAAAAAAAUAACUAUUUUGUUUUAAUCUACUUUUUGUAUUUAGUAGUUAUUUGUAUAAAUUAAAUAAACUGUUUUCAAGUCAAA